rnacentral:rRNA from 1 species
UGGGGAAUCUUGCACAAUGGGCGAAAGCCUGAUGCAGCGACGCCGCGUGCGGGAUGAAGGCCUUCGGGUUGUAAACCGCUUUCAGCAGGGACGAGGCCGCAAGGUGACGGUACCUGCAGAAGAAGCCCCGGCUAACUACGUGCCAGCAGCCGCGGUAAUACGUAGGGGGCAAGCGUUAUCCGGAUUCAUUGGGCGUAAAGCGCGCGUAGGCGGUUUGUUAGGUCAGGAGUUAAAUCUGGGGGCUCAACCCCUAUCCGCUCCUGAUACCGGCAGGCUUGAGUCUGUUAGGGGAAGGCGGAAUUCCAAGUGUAGCGGUGAAAUGCGCAGAUAUUUGGAAGAACACCGGUGGCGAAGGCGGCCUUCUGGGCCACGACUGACGCUGAGGCGCGAAAGCUAGGGGAGCGAACAGG